ACGGUGGCCACACGCCACCUCCGGGAUGCUGAGGGGCCGGAGGAGACCGUGAGGCCCGAGCCGGCUGCUCACGCUGCCAUGGACAUGGCCGAGGUCGAGUUCCUGGCCGAGAAGGACCUGGUUACCAUUAUCCCCAACUUCAAUCUGGACAAGAUCUACCUCACUGGGGUGGGUACCUGGGGCCUUUUAACCGUGGUUUACCAGUGGAAGUGCCCCCGUGGCUGGCAAUUAACCUGAAGCAAAGACAGAAAUGUUGACUGCUCCCUCCGGAGUGGAUGGACAUAGGAAAAGUUGGAGAAGAUGAGGAAUCAUGAACGAAAGGAAGAAACUUUCACCCCAGUGCCUGGCCCUUACUACAUGGAACUUACCAAGCUCCUGUUAAAUCAUGCUUCAGACAACAUCCCAAAGGCAGAUGAAAUCUGGACCCUGGUCAAGGACAUGUGGGACACUCGUAUAGCCAAACUCCGAGUGUCUGCUGACAGCUUUGUGAGACAACAGGAGGCACAUGCCAAGCUGGAUCACUUGACCUUGAUGGAGAUCAACACCAGCAGGACUGUCCUCACACAAGUGCUCAGCCACAUGUACAAACUCCGCACAAACCUCCAACCUUCGGAGAGUACUCAGUCUCAGGACUUCUAGAGAAAGGCCUGGUACAGGCCGCUUGCUGGGGGAUGUGAGUGCUCAGGACAGGGUGAGGUACUCAUGGUUCUGGAGCUCUAGAAGCACUUUCUAAUGCAUGAAAACCGUGUGAUGGUGCAAGGAAUGGAUUCGUGACAUUGUUGGAGAAGCAACAAGUUUGUGAUUAGUCCUUAAAACUUAGCUCCCUGGGAUGUUCUUCAAUUCCACAUCUGUUUCUAGAAAUCAGCCUUCUCCGCCCCACCUCCGCACUUUUGAGAAAGAAAAAAGCUUUAGGCAAAUAAGUUAUCGCCCCUAGCAGAGCCACUU